rnacentral:rRNA from 1 species
UGCAGUCGANCGGCAGCGCGGGGCAACCUGGCGGCGAGUGGCGAACGGGUGAGUAAUAUAUCGGAACGUGCCCUGGAGUGGGGGAUAACGCAGCGAAAGUUGCGCUAAUACCGCAUACGAUCUAAGGAUGAAAGCGGGGGAUUCGCAAGAACCUCGUGCUCCUGGAGCGGCCGAUAUCUGAUUAGCUAGUUGGUGGGGUAAAGGCCUACCAAGGCAUCGAUCAGUAGCUGGUCUGAGAGGACGACCAGCCACACUGGAACUGAGACACGGUCCAGACUCCUACGGGAGGCAGCAGUGGGGAAUUUUGGACAAUGGGCGAAAGCCUGAUCCAGCAAUGCCGCGUGAGUGAAGAAGGCCUUCGGGUUGUAAAGCUCUUUUGUCAGGGAAGAAACGGUGAAGGCUAAUAUCCUUUGCUAAUGACGGUACCUGAAGAAUAAGCACCGGCUAACUACGUGCCAGCAGCCGCGGUAAUACGUAGGGUGCAAGCGUUAAUCGGAAUUACUGGGCGUAAAGCGUGCGCAGGCGGUUUUGUAAGUCUGUCGUGAAAUCCCCGGGCUCAACCUGGGAAUUGCGAUGGAGACUGCAAGGCUAGAAUCUGGCAGAGGGGGGUAGAAUUCCACGUGUAGCAGUGAAAUGCGUAGAGAUGUGGAGGAACACCGAUGGCGAAGGCAGCCCCCUGGGUCAAGAUUGACGCUCAUGCACGAAAGCGUGGGGAGCNNCAGGAUUAGAUACCCUGGUAGUCCACGCCCUAAACGAUGUCUACUAGUUGUCGGGUUUUAAUUAACUUGGUAACGCAGCUAACGCGUGAAGUAGACCGCCUGGGGAGUACGGUCGCAAGAUUAAAACUCAAAGGAAUUGACGGGGACCCGCACAAGCGGUGGANGAUGUGGAUUAAUUCGAUGCAACGCGAAAACCUUACCUACCCUUGACAUGUACGGAAGCCACGAGAGAUCGAG